AGAUUGAUGAUGAUACCCUAGUUACAUCCCUGAGAGCUGAAAAAAUGAGUGAGAACUGCAAACCAUCUCUCUCAUUGCGACUGAGGUCC
ensembl:snoRNA SNORD116 Small nucleolar RNA SNORD116